UCCCCCUGGCAAUGGGCAAAGGGAUGCCUUGUUGGUAGUCUUGGUUUUCUAUCAGUCAGGACAGAGCAGUUGUCAGUUCUUUGUUCAUCCUAGCUUGAUGCCUGGCUUGGUGGUCAAAGCUGCUUUAGGCCUAGGACACAUUA